GGGAGCCGGGAAGCGGAAGCGGCGAGCGCGCCGGGAGCGCAGCUGCGGCCGUGGGGGCGGCAGGAGCCGCGGAGCCGGCCCGAGAGCGGGGCUGCCGGAGCGGGCGGCCGAGAGAAAGGCGACGGGAACGUGCCAUCGUAGCGCAAAGUCCUCCGUGUCCUGCCUUCAGAGUCUCCAGCGUCAUUGCUGUGUGAGGUCUGCUACUUCACGAUUUAAGAGAUGGUGCUGAUUCAGACGUGCGCACAGUGACCCAGGUGCUAAAUGCAGUGCUGCAGGGAGUACAGAUCUGUGGAACCUGUUGCAGAAGCACUUUGGCAAUGUCACAGAGCAGAACUUAGUACUUCCGAGAAAAUGAAUGCCGAACCCUUACGAAGAGAUAAAGGUUAUUUGGUACAUAUUGGUGGUCUCUGCCCUUCAGUAUCUGAGGCUGAUUGAAGGUCUCAUUUCCAGAAAUACCAAGUUUCUGAAAUUUCAAUUUAUGAUUCUUCUACUAAUUACAGAUAUGCAUCUCUUGCUUUCCAAAAAAAAACAGUGAUGUAAAGAUGGCUGUGAAAGGAAUGAUGCCAAAAAGAACUGCAAAGAAAUGUCAAGCACAUGAAUACAGCUAGACAAUCCAAGGCAAGAUGAAUGUCAGAAGAUUUUGGCUUCCUGGAAAAAACUCACCAUGGACUUUGGUUAUUCAGAAUUAGCUACUUCUUCUGUAAGGCUAUCAGAUAAAUCACAAGAUUGUUGUCAGCUGGGAAGAUGGUGGAGGUAACAGUUUUAAACUCACCCCUGAACCUCCUAGACAGAGUUACUGGAAGAGAAGCAAACAAAACAAAGCAAAAGGCCCUGGGACAACAUAUACAGUACCAAAAAAAUUAAGUGAUAAGGAGUCCUGUGAAUCCCAAAAUUUGAGCAGUCAGGACAAAUCUGCAAGAGCUACAGUUGCAAUUGGUACUGACAGCUACGGAGGACAAGGAGGGACACAGUGGGGAAUCUAGGGGAGCUGAGCACAGGAGGACCAACCUUGCAGCUGCAAUGGACAGGGUGAGACACCCUCACGUGAGACGAUUCACAGUAAUGCACGGAUCCAUGGUAAAGUCCUCAGGAGCUGGAGCAUGACAGUCCUCUGAACACCCAAAAUUAGGCAAAGCUCCCUUCCAGGACAAAGCCCCACAUUAGAGAUAAGUGUGAGGAAUUAAAAUAUCAAAUACUACUGGAGUCAGUUAAAAAGACCUUUAGUAUAAGAAAGGGUGGUUCAAAGAAAAAUGGGGGAAAGAUAGAGAAAAACCUAGGAAAUCUCAAGAAAUAUGAGGCCAUAUUUUUAGCACUUCACAAAACUGGCAUAAGAAGAGCAUUAGAGCCAUAAAUCUAGUAAAAGGAUUCAGACCCACUUCUACCUGCUACAAGUUUGGGAAAACAGAUUUUCACACCAGAAUGACAACAGGAAGGACUGCGGCUCACAGGACAGAGUGACACCCUUAGAUGAAGGCAUGUCAGAAAGAUACACCUGCAAAACCGAAGAAAACCAGGAUCCACUGUUUCAAGAAAUGAGAAAAGACAUUAAGAAAAUGAUAUAAUAGGAAUGCUGUAAAUCAGAAUUAGAAAAACUCAGGAAUGGGUUAAACAUUUGAAGUAAAUGGAAAAGAAAUCACUUCAGAAGUGAAGUCUAAACUAGAAGCUACACAAGAGUGAUUAUACAGCAGAUAAUAUCAGAUAAACGUAAGUUGCAAAGAAUGAAAAAAUUAAAAAUCAAAAAGAAAAAAGAUGAAAAGAAUUCAAUUGAAAAUUACAAACAGAAGACAGGAAAAGAAGACUGAACACACUAAGACAGGCCUCAAAUAAUAUAAACUAAAUAUAUAUAAUAGUAAUAUAAUCUUAACUAUAUAUAAUAUAAUUUUGUUUCUUAUUCUCAGAUAGCUGUGUAUAUAAUGUUGCAUAAAAUAUUGACUAAUUAUAUGAUAUUCUAAAAUUUUAUUGUUCAUGAUAUCCACAAUUCUCACCAUGUCAGAGAGGAGGUAAGAUUUUUGAUGGAAGAGAUACAUAAAACCCAGUAGCCAUAAAUUUCAAUGGAAAAUAUCAGUAUGAAUUAAUGAGGUGUUUUUAUCUUUUAAAAGUAUAUUGAUUUCCUAACUCUGUCCAUUCCAAGGCCUAGAGAGACAACACAGUAGCAACACGGAGUGGCCAGAAAGUACUCUUGAAAUACAAUUUCAAACUAAAAGAAACCGGAGCCCUUGGAAGAAAGCAGUGGUUUAGGAUGUGUACAAAAUGGGCCUUAAACCUUGUCACCCGAGAAAGCAGGAACAAACUUUGGGAUCCAACACAGAGGCCCCCACUGGUCAAAGAUGGGAAAACCUCAGCAUCAGAAAGGAUUUUGUCAAAAAAUGACAACUAAAAGAAAAAACCUAGCUGGUUACCACUGAAGGAUGCUAUUUUGAAAACUGGUAAAUACAUAAAAAGAAGGAAUUAAACACUUCUCCUACUUUUCCCAUGUGAACCAUACCACAGCAUAACCAAAUAGCAGAUAAUGGGAAGCCUAUGUCCUUACAGAGGCAUUCCAGUUCGCAAAGGAAAGAAAAUUAGAUUACCACCAUUUUGCAAUUCUUAAUGAAUUACUGGAUCUAGCAUCAAUAGCUACAUAUAUCACAAAACGAGAUAACUGACACGUGUGCCUCCUGAAAACACAACUUUCCGCAGCCUGUGCAACAGCCUCGACCCACCCCACAGCCUCUGGACCAACCAUCAAUUUCCGGGAAAUACAGAGGACUGAGCAGCAGGUCAAACUGGACCACAGAGCUGCGAUCCUCAAAAGCCAGACUACGAGAAACCAAAUGACCCAGUUUCCCCAAUCAAUAAAUCCCAAAUGAAAGCCACAACAAAAAAGAUGAAUGAGAAAUCCACAGAUCAAAACAGAAACAAGCAGAAUGAAGCCAUUAUACCAAAGUAAAUGAUAAUGUUUAGGAUGCAGGAUGCAGGAUAGCCUAAGAGGGAGUCACACCAACUCCCAUAACUUUGAAUGCAUGACUAAAACUAUGUAGCUUUCAAUUUUUUUUACAAUGGAGUCACCAGUCAAAAUAAAGAGUGAAACUUAAUGACUACAUAUGCAAUCCUAACAAUAAUUCUUCUGCAGCCUUCUGUAACUUCAGCCAUUUCUAAAGUUUAAAAGACACGUCUAUGUUGAGACUUACCUGUAAAUAAGCAGAACAACUUGACUUAAAAUGAAUCCAAGGCUUGAGAGUGCAGAAUAGGCAUAUCAGGCUUUACAGCAAAAGAUCAGAGUGCCUGUCCUCAUCCCACGCCACUUCCUAACUGACCUCAGGCAAGCGCAACAGGCAAGAAAGUUGACAUUAACCAAGAAGCAAAGGCACUGGGUCAGGCAGUUCUCUGCACAGUCCCCCCUGGAGCCAACUGUCCAGCAGGGAAAUAGUUACGACUGUGACUGAUGUUGGGAAAAAAGCACAGAACACUGAGACGUGAGCCACUGUGAUGGGAGGAAAUAUGGCACAGCUCUCAGAGGGGAUGAGGCAGAGGACACACGGGGAACCCCUCCUGAGCACUUAACCUCCGAUUUUCUUCCUUUCUUUUCAUCUAUCUUUAGAUGACACUAAUAAAACUAAGACCAUUUACUAGGUAAAAUAAAUUUAUUGAUAUUUAAUUAGGAACUAUGGACCUCACAACAUGAAGGAAAAUAAGCCUUGGCAUCAUUUAAGGCUAUACCGAUGAAGCAAGGAGAGAAAGGAACACUUACCGAAAAGCCGCGAUACAAAAGGAGAAGGUGUGUGCAAUCCUGUUUAACAACCUUUGCAUCUUUUGUCACAGUUUAACUUGCGCACACACGUACACACAUAAGUGUUGCGAUAAUCCAACAGACGUCUGCACCCGGCACUGUGGGGUUAAUUCUCUGACUCCCACACAGCAGGUGGUCACAAUCUAACAGCAAUAUUUACUAGGAGAGUCUGACAGCUUCCUAGGGAACAUCCCUAGAGCUUCUAGAAGGAUGCUACACGUGAGAAAAAGGAAUAGUCUGAAAAACUGAAAUGUUUCAGUCAAGCUUACAUGAUUUUAAUUUUUAAAAACAAAUCCAAAGAACAGUAUUUUAUUUCAGCGGUCUUCUAUGAGCAAUUUGAUAUACAAAAACUGUUUUCUUAAAAGUCUCAACCAUAAGAAAAUACUUUUAUUCUUUGAGAUUUCUUUAAAUGUUUUUAUUAUCAACAUCACCUCUCUGUAAUUUGUAUUUAGCUACCACACCUCAAAUUAUUUGCUUUAAUUAAAACUAUAAUAAUUAAAACAAUGUACUAUUUAUUUUAUUCUUACUUUUCAUACAGUAUUAUUUUGUUCCUUCCACUAACCUACAGGAGCUAAGAGUUGAACAUGGUCAGCGUCAAAGUAUUCUGAGGGUGAGUGUAGAGUCAGAGCCACACAGAGCCCGAACCCUUUCUCCAUCUUCUGUUCCUUCCCUUGCAGUAUUCUGGAUUAACAGAAGAAAAUAGUCACCUGACCUCCAGAUGAUUUUCCACCUGUGCCUGGCAAGACUGGGGAAAACCCUGGGGCUACACUCGGGUGUCUGAUGACUGAGGGUUUCACAGAAGAGGCCUCUCCUGACUCAGCUUGGAGGGACUCGUCUGUUAGGAACAGCAUGAGCCUAGGAAACCUUCACCACGAACCUUGUGUUAGAUCAUGAGCCCCAGCAUUUGGGAACAACUGAAACAUAUCUCUAAAUCUUACAGAUUAUAAUACUGUUUAAAUUCAAGGCCUUAAAAAUACAGUAAACAUUAAAGCUUCUGGGAUUCCUAAAAUCUCCUUGCCCGGACCUUUCCCGUCCCAUAAGGGAAGAGAAUGAGCGAGGGAAGCUCAUUCUCAGCACUUCACUGUAUUCCAUGAUUGCAACUGAGCCCUGUGAAUCUCCUCUUUCCCCACCUCCACACUUCCUUUCACAGCCCCCUCAGUCCUCCCUUUCCUUGACAAACCCAAGUAAACCCCACAGUUCAACCAACUGUAGAUCAAAAAUAUUUGAGAAAAAAAUUGUAUCUGUACUGGA